rnacentral:miRNA from 1 species
GUCGCUGGGAUUACAGGUGUGCACCACUGUGUCUGACCUGUUUUUUUCUUUUUUACAGAUUAUUAAUUGUUAUAAAAUCAUAUUUAAUGAUUCGGAAAUAUAGCAAACUGAAACAUAUUAUAAAGUAGUUAGCCAGGCACUGUGGUGUACUCCUAUAAUCCCAGCGGC